rnacentral:lncRNA from 1 species
UCCUGCCUUUCACCUCCUUCUGACUCAUCUCUGAAUUGUUUCUUGUGAUUGUGUCAAGAAUCUGGAAACUAGCUGGGCUGGGGUCUCACUGGCAUGCAGAGACUCUCCUGGGAUCACACUGGCAUCCACAGAGCCUCUUGAGCCCUCCAGCAACAAGUUGAUCUGGUAAUAGCUUUGGAACUUUGAGGGGAAGUUGGAGACUUGGCAUGAGGGAUAAAUGCAGUGGACUGAGACUUUAGACAAGUGGGGAUGGGGUCUUUGACCAGGCGCCAGUGGUAGCUCUCCACGCAAGCUGCUCGUUUCCUAUGGAUCCCCCUAGCUGUGGUGGGCAUUGCAGUUGCCCUUGGGUAUUUCGAGUGGCAGGGUCUGCUCACCCUGGAUAGACCAUCACUAUCCAGCUGUGCCACUUUGCAUGCUCCAUCCUUCCUCUGCUCCUUCUCGGCUGCUGAUUUUAGAAACAAGGUAGACCAGGGGCUCCAAUUCCCGGCUG